UUGGCGGCGUGCUUAACACAUGCAAGUCGAACGGAAAGGCCCUGCUUUUGUGGGGUGCUCGAGUGGCGAACGGGUGAGUAACACGUGAGUAACCUGCCCUUGACUUUGGGAUAACUUCAGGAAACUGGGGCUAAUACCGGAUAGGAGCUCCUGCUGCAUGGUGGGGGUUGGAAAGUUUCGGCGGUUGGGGAUGGACUCGCGGCUUAUCAGCUUGUUGGUGGGGUAGUGGCUUACCAAGGCUUUGACGGGUAGCCGGCCUGAGAGGGUGACCGACCACAUUGGGACUGAGAUACGGCCCAGACUCCUACGGGAGGCAGCAGUGGGGAAUAUUGCACAAUGGGCGGAAGCCUGAUGCAGCAACGCCGCGUGCGGGAUGACGGCCUUCGGGUUGUAAACCGCUUUCGCCUGUGACGAAGCGUGAGUGACGGUAAUGGGUAAAGAAGCACCGGCUAACUACGUGCCAGCAGCCGCGGUGAUACGUAGGGUGCGAGCGUUGUCCGGAUUUAUUGGGCGUAAAGGGCUCGUAGGUGGUUGAUCGCGUCGGAAGUGUAAUCUUGGGGCUUAACCCUGAGCGUGCUUUCGAUACGGGUUGACUUGAGGAAGGUAGGGGAGAAUGGAAUUCCUGGUGGAGCGGUGGAAUGCGCAGAUAUCAGGAGGAACACCAGUGGCGAAGGCGGUUCUCUGGGCCUUUCCUGACGCUGAGGAGCGAAAGCGUGGGGAGCGAACAGGCUUAGAUACCCUGGUAGUCCACGCUGUAAACGGUGGGUACUAGGUGUGGGGUCCAUUCCACGGGUUCCGUGCCGUAGCUAACGCUUUAAGUACCCCGCCUGGGGAGUACGGCCGCAAGGCUAAAACUCAAAGGAAUUGACGGGGCCCCGCACAAGCGGCGGAGCAUGCGGAUUAAUUCGAUGCAACGCGUAGAACCUUACCUGGGUUUGACAUGGAUCGGGAGUGCUCAGAGAUGGGUGUGCCUCUUUUGGGGUCGGUUCACAGGUGGUGCAUGGCUGUCGUCAGCUCGUGUCGUGAGAUGUUGGGUUAAGUCCCGCAACGAGCGCAACCCUUGUUCACUGUUGCCAGCACGUUAUGGUGGGGACUCAGUGGAGACCGCCGGGGUCAACUCGGAGGAAGGUGGGGAUGACGUCAAGUCAUCAUGCCCCUUAUGUCCAGGGCUUCACGCAUGCUACAAUGGCUGGUACAGAGAGUGGCGAGCCUGUGAGGGUGAGCGAAUCUCGGAAAGCCGGUCUCAGUUCGGAUUGGGGUCUGCAACUCGACCUCAUGAAGUCGGAGUCGCUAGUAAUCGCAGAUCAGCAACGCUGCGGUGAAUACGUUCCCGGGGCUUGUACACACCGCCCGUCAAGUCAUGAAAGUUGGUAACACCCGAAGCCGGUGGCCUAACCGUUGUGGGGGAGCCGUCGAAGGUGGGACUGGUGAUUAG
rnacentral:rRNA from 1 species